rnacentral:rRNA from 1 species
UACGGAGGGUGCAGGCGUUAUCCGGAUUUAUUGGGUUUAAAGGGUGCGUAGGCGGCUUUUUAAGUCAGUUGUGAAAUCCUAGCGCUUAACGCUAGAACUGCGAUUGAUACUGAAAGGCUUGAGUCAAGAAGAGGUAAGUAGAAUUUGUGGUGUAGUAGUGAAAUGCUUAGAUAUCAUAAGGAAUACCAAUAGCGAAGGCAACUUGCUGGUCUUGAACUGACGCUGAGGCACGAAAGCAUGGGGAGCAAACAGG